rnacentral:rRNA from 1 species
GACAUAGGGUGCAAACGUUGUUCGGAAUUACUGGGCGUAAAGCGCGUGUAGGCGGCUAUGUAAGUCGGGCGUGAAAUCCCACGGCUCAACCGUGGAAGUGCACCCGAAACUGCGUAGCUAGAGUCCUGGAGAGGAAGGUGGAAUGCUUGGUGUAGAGGUGAAAUUCGUAGAUAUCAAGCGGAACACCGGUGGCGAAGGCGGCCUUCUGGACAGUGACUGACGCUGAGACGCGAAAGCGUGGGGAGCAAACAGG